GGCAACGUGGCUGAGUGGUUAAAGCGUACGACUAGAAAUACAUAUACAUCUACGGUAUAUCUAUAUAUCUUGCAAUCGUAUCCCUUCGGGGUCGUAGGUUCAAAUCCUGCCGUUGUCG